rnacentral:rRNA from 1 species
UACAGAGGGUGCAAGCGUUAAUCGGAAUUACUGGGCGUAAAGCGUGCGUAGGUGGAAAUUUAAGUCGAUUGUGAAAUCCCCGGGCUUAACCUGGGAACUGCAGUCGAUACUGGAUAUCUUGAGUAUGGUAGAGGAAAGUAGAAUUCCCGGUGUAGCGGUGAAAUGCGUAGAUAUCGGGAGGAAUACCAGUGGCGAAGGCGGCUUUCUGGACUAAUACUGACACUGAGGUACGAAAGCGUGGGGAGCAAACAGG